GGCUUAUUGUUUAUUUAUAUUAAGUUUUACCUGCUCAAUGAUAUUUUAUAUAUUAAAUAGCCGCAGUAUAUUGACUGUGCAAAGGUAGCAUAAUCAUUUGUCUUUUAAUUGGAGACUUGUAUGAAUGGUUUGAUGAAAUAUUUCCUUUCUUUAUACAAAAUUAAAAAAUUUAAUAUUUUAGUUAAAAAGCUAAAAUACUUUUAAGGGACGAGAAGACCCUAUAGAAUUUUAUAUUUUUGGAUUUAAUUUAUAUUAGGUUAUUUUUGAAUUUUAUUUUUAAAAGUAUUUUGUUGGGGUGACAGGGAAAUUUUCUUAACUUUCUUUACUUAUAUUUUAUUAAUAUAUAUAUUUAUGAUCCUAUUUUAUGGAUAUUUAAGAUUAAAUUACCUUAGGGAUAACAGCGUAAUUUCUUUGGAGAGUUCUUAUUGAUAAAGGAGUUUGCGACCUCGAUGUUGGAUUAAAAUUGGUAUUAGGUGCAGAAGCUUAAUUUACUAGGUCUGUUCGACCUUUAAAAUUUUACA
rnacentral:rRNA from 2 species